UACGAAGGGAGCUAGCGUUGUUCGGAAUCACUGGGCGUAAAGCGCACGUAGGCGGAUGUGCCAGUCAGGGGUGAAAUCCCGGAGCUCAACUCCGGAACUGCCUCUGAUACAGCACGUCUUGAGUCCGGAGGAGGUGGGUGGAAUUCCUAGUGUAGAGGUGAAAUUCGUAGAUAUUAGGAAGAACACCGGUGGCGAAGGCGGCCCACUGGUCCGGUACUGACGCUGAGGUGCGAAAGCGUGGGGAGCAAACAGG
rnacentral:rRNA from 1 species